AGCGAACGCUGGCGGCAGGCUUAACACAUGCAAGUCGAGCGGGCCCUUCGGGGUCAGCGGCAGACGGGUGAGUAACACGUGGGAACGUACCCUUUGGUUCGGAAUAACGCUGGGAAACUAGCGCUAAUACCGGAUACGCCCUUUUGGGGAAAGGCGUGCUGCCGAAGGAUCGGCCCGCGUCUGAUUAGCUAGUUGGUGGGGUAAUGGCCUACCAAGGCGACGAUCAGUAGCUGGUCUGAGAGGAUGAUCAGCCACACUGGGACUGAGACACGGCCCAGACUCCUACGGGAAGCAGCAGUGGGGAAUAUUGGACAAUGGGCGCAAGCCUGAUCCAGCCAUGCCGCGUGAGUGAUGAAGGCCUUAGGGUUGUAAAGCUCUUUUGUCCGGGACGAUAAUGACGGUACCGGAAGAAUAAGCCCCGGCUAACUUCGUG
rnacentral:rRNA from 1 species